CUGUAUAAGUAAAUUUCUCUAAUAGUUUUUAAUCAAAAAUUGUUCGCCCACACGAACGAAGUCGCAGGCAUUAGCUAGUGAUCCAAUAAAUAAUUAAUCUAUCACCUAUCAAAAGUCGCCACAUAUCAUAUCACAUUCGUCUCUUAUAAAACUAAUCGCACAGAAAAUGUUAUCUCUGUCUGUCUGUAAAGUGACAUCAUGUUGCAAUCAAUUUAAUGGAUGGAAGACAAUAGUAUUACUUAGACGGGUUUGAUAGAAAUGUAUCGUUUUCAAUUAGUUUCCCUACAUGCCGCCCAUUUUCAUGGCCGAUGCUAAAUAAAAAUUAAUGGUUUGCUUUUUACUAGCUUUGUUUUAAUUUGUAAUGUUUAUAUGUGUACCUAAAAUUAAUUAAAUCUUCCAAUCCGUUCGGAUGGAUUGAAAGAUUUAAUUAAUUUUGAAGCAAAAUUGAAAAAGCAACCGAUUGAGUUGAAAUAAAAUACACGUUAUACAUUAUUAUGAUCUCAUGGUGCUCCCACGGUCGGUUCCCGAUGAAAGAACUCCUCAAUGUUUAAUGGCACGGUCAUGUUAUACACGUGGCUUUAGUUCCUGAUGAUGGGCCAAGAUCAGCUUACAACGAGGGGACUCCUCAACGGACCUUUACUGCACGGACAUCGUCACGCGUUGAUGAAAUAAGAUCUCUUUAAAAACUAUAAAAGUUCGUCAAAAGCUGCAAGUUUGCUAAUAAAUUACACUCCGUGACAAGUGAGAAGGGUCUGGUGAUGUGCCAAUGAUGGAUAGUGGAACCCUUUGGGUCUUUGAUGGCCACUUAGGUACUGAGGACUUGCGGGAUUUCCUGCGUUUGAUUGACCCUUGGUCAUUCGGUACGUAUACCACGUACCGAAUACACCAAGAACGUAUAUGAACCCAGACUUUGCUGCUCCCAAUCUCGCCCGGAAACAUGAGAGAAUGAGAAACACUGCUGUUUUAUUACUGAAUUAUUAUGAUGUGAAAUGAUAAAUAAAUAAAUAAAUAUAUUAGGACAAAAUACACAGAUUUACAAUUGGAGCUAGUCCCAAAAUAAGUUCUAUAAUUGUGUUAUGGGAUACUAACUCAACGAUACUAUAUUUUAUAACAUAUACAUAUAUAGAUAAACAUCCAAGACCUGGGCCAAUCGGAAAAAGAUCAUUUUCCAUCAUGGUCCGACCGGGGGUCGAACCUGGGACCUCUCGGUUCAGAGGCAAACACUUUACCACUGCGCCACCGAGGCCGUCGAGGUCGAGGAGAUGAUAGUAUAUGAUAUGCUCAUUUAUUUAUUUAUAUUUACAUACCCAUAUUUGGCGAAACAUGUAGGUUUAAGUUACUUUAACACCAAUUCAUAAGUACUAAUGUUUAUGUCAAAUAUUUUGAUAUGAAUUGGUCUACAUGAUACAUUUUAUAUAUACAGUUUUAUUCUAUUUUGUCCUUUAUUCUAUUGUUAGAAACUUUCAAAACAUGUUAAAUAGUUGCCUUCCUAAUACAAGCUCGCUAUAAUUCAUAAAUAUAAUAGAAAAUGUGGAAAAUGAACAGCAUAAACCGAAGCAACGAUAUUGUGAGCAGGGAAUGAACCGGGCAAAUGAGAAGGAAACGGCGGAAUUAAUUUGCCCCGACGUGCUUUGUGAUAGUUGACGCGCUGCGGCGAGUGUGGACAAAUGGCGGCGUAUUGUCACGCUCUUGGAGUAUACUGCGCCAACUUGAGCAUUCAUUUUUCUUUUUACUUGUUCGUGUUAAUAUGGUUGCUUUACGAUUUUUUGUUGUUUAAUGUCUAACAUUUUUUGUUGUUUAACUAUUGCAAGAAGGAUUCAUGGGAUAUGUACGCCGAUGCCUUUCAAGUUACUCUUUACUGUCUUGGUACUGAUAUAUGAUGUUCGGAUGUCUAAAUGACACAAACUGGAUGUCCAAUAUCCCAGGCAAAGAAGAAAUUGUAAUGUUCAAUGUAAUGAAACCAGAUUAUUUAUACAUAAAUUUAUAUAUUCAUUUAGUCAUAAUUUAAAGCAACAACGCAAAUAAACAAGUUAUGUAUUUGGUAUAUAUCUAUAAUAAUGUCAUAGUUGUGGACUUACAAUAAUUAUAUAUUAUCCAUUGUUAUUGGCGAGACGAGACGAUAGAUAGCAAAUAUUGAUUAUUCAGCGUAAUGAAUCAUUAGUGUCGCACAUCACGCACGCGUGUUUCGUUCGUGGUAUUUGUCACGUUGGCGGAGCAAAUAUUUAUCUACUACUCGAACGUGUUCGUGAUGGUUAAUAAUGCGUAUCUGGCUUGGGAAAUAAAUAAUAAAUGGACAAGACUCAACAUAGAAAUGGACACAACAUGGACAGAACUGAAGACAAGAAGCUGUGAUCACAAGAAAAAAUAAUAGAAAUUUAAAGAAAAAUGUAGCCUAUUUUUAAAAUUGGGUCUUUAACUAUAUGCAUAUCGUAUUUAAUCAAAAUUGGUUCAUUGUGAAAGCGUGACAGACAGAUAAGCUUUCGUACUGAUUAUACUUGUAUAAUUCUUCCAGUAUGAAAUGGAUUUGACGUGAUAAAGUCCUAAGUAAUAUGCGCAUUUCCGGCGAAGUUAUGUAUUAUUUUGCGUUAGAUAUAUAUGUUUAAUAAGAUCACAAGUUAUAUAAGAGAUCACCUGGCACCCGUAUCACCAUACAAGCCACAUUUCUAUAAUAAUAUAAUUGGAAAAGUUCGAUCUCACGAGUAAAUAAAACAGUACGUUUGUGAGAACCAGUCCAAUUUAACUUGUGGUCCAAAAAUACUAGACUAUU